CUAUAGCUCAGCUGGUAGAGCAACUGAUUUGUAAUCAGUAGGUCCGCGGUUCGAGUCCGUGUG
rnacentral:tRNA from 16 species